GCCGGAUUAGCUCAGUUGGUAGAGCACCCGCCUUGUAAGCGGUAGGUCGUCAGUUCGAAUCCGACAUCCGGCACCA
rnacentral:tRNA from 1 species